UUCAUAUCAAUAUAUAUUGAAUAUUUCCAGCUAAAGAUCAAGAUGAGUAUCAUAGUUACAGCUAUUGUGUUUUCUCUGUGUCUUGUGAGUUUCAGUUAUGGCCAAAAAUUCUCAUCUAUGGACCAAAAUAAUGAUACGAAAUUGACAUAUGCUGAAUUGGAAGGUUACUUUGCUACGUUUGAUAUGAAUGGUAACGAUGAAGUUACCCGGGCGGAGCAUAAAAAGAAAACUGAUAUGAAUAAAGCUGAAGCCGAAGCUGUAUUUAAAAUGUACGACACAAAUAAAGACGGAAAAAUUGA